rnacentral:rRNA from 1 species
UACGGGGGGGGCAAGCGUUGUUCGGAAUUACUGGGCGUAAAGGGCUCGUAGGCGGCCAACUAAGUCGGAUGUGAAAUCCCCAGGCUUAACCUGGGAACUGCAUUUGUGACUGCAUGGCUAGAGUGCGGCAGAGGGGGAUGGAAUUCCGCGUGUAGCAGUGAAAUGCGUAGAUAUGCGGAGGAACACCGAUGGCGAAGGCAGCUCUCUGGGACGGUACUGACGCUGAGACGCGAAAGCGUGGGGAGCGAACAGG